ACUUUUUGAGUGAGUGGAGUAGGAAAGUGUAAGAGUAAAGUGUAGUAGUCAGUCAGUGUGUGUCUAUGUACUGUGUGUCUGUGUGUAAAAAAACUCUCUCAAUGGCACUUCUUCUUCACCUUCUCCGCCCAUUUCCGUCGCUCCUUCUUUAACUCCACAAUACACAGCGCUGUCCCUUCUGCCACCAUCACCACCGUAAGCGGCGGAGACCGCACCUCAUUUAUUUACAGAUGGGUUGCACGGCGUCGAAGCUAGAUAACGAGGACACUGUCCGGAGGUGUAAAGAACGCCGGCGAUUGAUGAAAGAAGCUGUUUACGCUCGUCAUCAUUUAGCUUCAGCUCAUUCCGAUUACUGCCGUUCACUCCGUAUCACCGGUUCUGCUCUUUCCACCUUCGCCGCCGGUGAACCUCUUUCCGUUUCCGAUCAUACCCCCGCCGUCCUCCUCCGUACACCCUCUACUACUACCACCACCAUUAAAACCCCAGCUCCACCACCUCCUGUUCGUAUCCCAUCCCCCUCACCUUCACUCCACCCACCACCACCGCCGCCGGCAUUUUCUCCGUCUCCGUCACCGACGAUAGCUUCAUCAAAGCUACCUCACAUACUUUCUUCCUCCUCUG
rnacentral:lncRNA from 1 species